rnacentral:rRNA from 1 species
UACGUAGGGCGCAAGCGUUGUCCGGAAUUAUUGGGCGUAAAGAGCUCGUAGGUGGCGUGUCGCGUCUGCCGUGAAAGCCCAUGGCUUAACUGUGGGUCUGCGGUGGAUACGGGCAGGCUGGAGGCUGGUAGGGGCAAGCGGAAUUCCUGGUGUAGCGGUGAAAUGCGCAGAUAUCAGGAGGAACACCGGUGGCGAAGGCGGAUCUCUGGGCCUUACCUGACGCUGAGGCGCGAAAGCUAGGGGAGCGAACAGG